rnacentral:rRNA from 1 species
AUUGAACGCUGGCGGCAUGCUUUACACAUGCAAGUCGAACGGUAACAGGCCUUCGGGUGCUGACGAGUGGCGAACGGGUGAGUAAUGCAUCGGAACGUGCCCAAUCGUGGGGGAUAACGUAGCGAAAGUUACGCUAAUACCGCAUAAGCCCUGAGGGGGAAAGCAGGGGAUCGCAAGACCUUGCGCGAAUGGAGCGGCCGAUGUCAGAUUAGCUAGUUGGUGGGGUAAAGGCCUACCAAGGCGACGAUUUGUAGCGGGUCUGAGAGGAUGAUCCGCCACACUGGGACUGAGACACGGCCCAGACUCCUACGGGAGGCAGCAGUGGGGAAUUUUGGACAAUGGGCGCAAGCCUGAUCCAGCCAUGCCGCGUGCGGGAAGAAGGCCUCGG